UCUUUUGCGUUUAUAUCCUUUCUAUUUUACAAUAUAUACUUUCUUCCUCCUACCCAAUCAUCCCUUAUAAUAAGUAAAAAAAAAAGGUUAAGGUAAAUUAUGACAUUGUCCAUGAUUCAUAUCUGCACUGUUCUAUAUUCAUACAUUCAGAAAUGCACAAACAAACACACACAUGCACAUGCACAUGUAAGUUCUGACAAGGACAGGUCAAUUCCUAGUUUCACAAGGCUAUCUUGUGUUACCAAACAACACAUAAAUAAAGCCAUUAUAUGUUCCCCCUGUUCCCAUCAAGUUUUUUAAAAAUGGAAUGUUCUCUCUCCUCAUCUCUGCUUCUUGGAAUUCCUCAUUUCCUUCAGUAUUCAGCCCAACUGCCAUAUUCUGUAAUGGGUCUUGCCCUUUAUAUCCCCUACCCUACUGGGCUCAUCAUAACUUCUUUUUGUAGGAAAUCUUGAUUCUACUCUGUAUGCACCAUAUGGCCCACAAACUGGCAGAGAGCUGAAACUUCAAACAUUUCAAGCUUCAGAGGACUUUCCAGAGGUUACAUUUCACCAUGAAAGCCAUUGUGAGCCCAAAGUCAUUGUCAAGUUAUGAUGAAACAUCAGGGAAGAACUUCAGUCUUCAUGUAGAGGGUAUUUAUGAAAGAAUGGGAUAAAAUAAAGUACAGUUAUAUAGUGUUUUAAUGUUGUAGCCUACAUACUCUGAAUCUAACAACAAUCCUUUGAGAUAAGUGUUCUUAUUAUCUUCACUUUACAACUAAGAUCCUUGAGACUGAGAAAAGUCUCAACUUUUCUAAGGUCAUUCAGCUAGUAAGUGUCUUACUGAAGUUUAGAAUUUAGGUCUUUCUAACUCUUUGCCCAAUUAUUUUAUCUACUCUACCAAGUUCUUCAUGAAUAAAUAUCAGAACUAGGAGUGGAAAAAUUGAGAAUUUAGUUAAGGAGAAAUGUAGGGAGAAAAAGAAGGGCUAUUGUUUUGAGAGUGUACAGAAAGAGAAAUGAGAAAAGGACUUUAAGUCACAGAUCAAUCUCUGCUUAGAGGAUUGCCUUACCUAUGAUGAGGAUUUAAUCAACUGGAAAUCUGUUCCAUAUUACUUUGAGGGGAAAAAAAAAACAAAAAAACAAAAGCUGGUUAAUUCAGAAUAUAUGGCCAUUAUCCUUUCAUUCAUCUUCUCCGAAACUAGAAAAUGUAGGGAAACAAGAAAAGACUGGUUACUGUGAAUUUCAAAACUGUUCCACCCUAAUCAGACCAUUCUUUAGAAGAUCUGAUUUAGCUAUUUCCUGAUCAAUAACAAUAGAGAUACUUGGAAUAAGAGAAUGAAGUCUUGGAAAUGCACAUUCUCCAUGCUACUCAGUGUAACAAGAUUAGGAAGAGCUUCAUGAAACUCAAGAUUUAGUUAUUUGAGAAAAUGGCCUUCCACAGACUUGUGCAAAAAAAAAAAAAAAGA